rnacentral:rRNA from 1 species
ACGAACGUUGGCGGCGUGGAUUAGGCAUGCAAGUCGAACGAAUCCCAGUGGGGGUAACUCUGCUGGGGGAAGUGGCGAAAGGGGCAGUAAUGCGUGGGUAACCUACCUCCGGGACCGGGAUAGCCAUUCUAACGAGUGGGUAAUACCGGGCAAAGUGGUUGAGAGGCAUCUCUUGGCCAUGAGAUGAAUUUCGCCUGGGGAGGGGCUCACGUCGUAUUAGCUUGUUGGCGGGGUAACGGCCCACCAAGGCAAAGAUGCGUAGCGGGUGUGAGAGCACGACCCGCGCCACUGGCACUGAGACACUGGCCAGACACCUACGGGUGGCUGCAGUCGAGAAUCUUCGGCAAUGGGCGCAAGCCUGACCGAGCGACGCCGCGUGUGUGAUGAAGGCCUUCGGGUUGUAAAGCACUGUCGAGGGGGAGGAAAGCGCAAGCUUGACCUAUCCCUGGAGGAAGCACGGGCUAAGUUCGU